AUUGCUGCUAUAAGUCCUGCUGAUGUGUGUUAUGAAGAAACUUUGUCAACUUUAAGAUAUGCUGAAAGAACUAAAAAGAUCAAGAACAAAGCUGUGAUAAAUGCGAGCCCCACUGAGAAGCUAAUAAAAGAACUGAAGGCAGAAAACAACAGACUGUUGUCCAAACUUGCUGGACUGGGAAAUUCAGGAAAAAGAGUAGCAGAUAAAACAAAGGAACUGGAGUAUUUACUGGCCAGAAACCAAUUGCAUCUUCAGACUAUACAGAUUACAUGGGAACACCAAUUGGAGGAAGCUCGGAAGGAAUGGGAAGAACAAUAUAGGGCAAUCACACAGGUGAACUUUUUUCCGACU